GACAGAUGGGAGCUUGCUCCCUGAUGUUAGCGGCGGACGGGUGAGUAACACGUGGGUAACCUGCCUGUAAGACUGGGAUAACUCCGGGAAACCGGGGCUAAUACCGGAUGCUUGUUUGAACCGCAUGGUUCAAACAUAAAAGGUGGCUUCGGCUACCACUUACAGAUGGACCCGCGGCGCAUUAGCUAGUUGGUGAGGUAAUGGCUCACCAAGGCGACGAUGCGUAGCCGACCUGAGAGGGUGAUCGGCCACACUGGGACUGAGACACGGCCCAGACUCCUACGGGAGGCAGCAGUAGGGAAUCUUCCGCAAUGGACGAAAGUCUGACGGAGCAACGCCGCGUGAGUGAUGAAGGUUUUCGGAUCGUAAAGCUCUGUUGUUAGGGAAGAACAAGUACCGUUCGAAUAGGGCGGUACCUUGACGGUACCUAACCAAAAAGCCACGGCUAACUACGUGCCAGCAGCCGCGGUAAUACGUAGGUGGCAAGCGUUGUCCGGAAUUAUUGGGCGUAAAGGGCUCGCAGGCGGUUUCUUAAGUCUGAUGUGAAAGCCCCCGGCUCAACCGGGGAGGGUCAUUGUAAACUGGGGAACUUGAGUGCAGAAGAGGAGAGUGGAAUUCCACGUGUAGCGGUGAAAUGCGUAGAGAUGUGGAGGAACACCAGUGGCGAAGGCGACUCUCUGGUCUGUAACUGACGCUGAGGAGCGAAAGCGUGGGGAGCGAACAGGAUUAGAUACCCUGG
rnacentral:rRNA from 1 species